rnacentral:rRNA from 1 species
GAUGAACGCUGGCGGCGUGCCUAAUACAUGCAAGUCGAGCGAACAGACGAGGAGCUUGCUCCUUUGACGUUAGCGGCGGACGGGUGAGUAACACGUAGGUAACCUACCUAUAAGACUGGGAUAACUUCGGGAAACCGGAGCUAAUACCGGAUAAUAUUUCGAACCGCAUGGUUCGAUAGUGAAAGAUGGCUUUGCUAUCACUUAUAGAUGGACCUGCGCCGUAUUAGCUAGUUGGUAAGGUAACGGCUUACCAAGGCAACGAUACGUAGCCGACCUGAGAGGGUGAUCGGCCACACUGGAACUGAGACACGGUCCAGACUCCUACGGGAGGCAGCAGUAAGGAAUCUUCCGCAAUGGGCGAAAGCCUGACGGAGCAACGCCGCGUGAGUGGUGAAGGUCUUCGGAUCGUAAAACUCUGUUAUUAGGGAAGAACAAACGUGUAAGUAACUGUGCACGUCUUGACGGUACCUAAUCAGAAAGCCACGGCUAACUACGUG